AUGCUUUUGGACGCCAUGAUGAUGGAGGCCAGGAAGGGGUUAAUGGAGAGGGACCAGUUCCCCGCCGGCAUGCGGGUCCUCGCCGUCGACGAUGACCCCGUGUGCCUCAAGGUUCUGGAGGUCCUCCUACGCCGCUGCCAGUAUCAUGUGACAACCACCAACCAGGCUGCUACUGCACUGAGGCUGUUAAGGGAGAACAAGGACAUGUUUGAUCUGGUCAUCAGCGACGUCCACAUGCCCGACAUGGACGGCUUCAAGCUCCUCGAGCUCGUGGGGCUCGAAAUGGAUCUCCCUGUCAUCAUGUUAUCGGUGAACGGAGAGACAAAAACUGUACUGAAGGGGAUAACUCAUGGUGCCUGUGACUAUCUCCUAAAACCAGUUCGCAUCGAAGAGCUCCGGAACGUGUGGCAGCACGUUGUGAGGAGAAAAUUCUGCAACCGUGAGCCGAACAAUCUUGAUUUCUGCAAAGAGAUCAGUAGGGACUCGUACCACCGGCUCGGCCAGGCGACCUGUGACAGGUCGUCUGACCAAAGCAACAGGGCCAGCAAGAAGAGGAAGGAGCCGCACUGCGAGGAGGAAGAUGAAGGCGAGGACAACGACGAUGCCUCGGCGGCGUCGAAAAAGCCGAGGGUGGUGUGGUCAGUGGAGCUGCACCGGAAGUUCGUAGCUGCCGUCAACCAGCUCGGGAUCGACAAGGCUGUACCUAAAAGAAUACUCGAGCUUAUGAACGUGGAGAAGCUCACCAGGGAAAAUGUUGCGAGUCAUCUGCAGAAGUACAGGCUAUACCUCAGACGGCUAAGUGCUGUGGCAUCACAACAAGCCAGCGUUGCUGCUGCUUUUGGAGGCAGAGACCCCUUCUUGCACAUGGGAGCAUUUGAAGGACUUCAUAGUUAUCAUCAACCCUUUGGCCCUUCUGCUGCUCCUCCAUCUUUCAAUCCGCAUGGACUGCUGAGUGGUGCUGGUGCAACAACAUUUGGGCUUCAGGACCUUGCUUCUCCCAAGGGAAUUCACUGUGCUGGCAACAAUGGCGAAGUAAGCUUACAAGGCAAUAAACACGCAGACUUGACGCAAGGCUUGACCGCAUCAUCAUUUGGGCAGCCCCGGCUCCAGCAGGAGUGGAUCCAUCAAGAAACCAAUGAUCUGUGCUCUGUCUUUUCUGGAGGUGCUCUGGCCAACACUAUGCGUGGCACAUUCCAGAGAAUUACAAGCAGUUCACUGCCACCAGAAGAUCUUUUGGAGUGCACUCCACAUAUCAAAGUUGGAGCCCAUCCAUCAGUAGGAAUACAAAAUGCAAGUUCAGGAUUGCUUGAAAGGUCUCAGCAGGGUGCUCUUCCAGUUGGUGAUGGAUUUUCUGUCGACAAGUUACCGUUGCACAUCUCGUUCGAUGGUGCUAUCGCGACAAAGCUGGAUGCUAGCUUUGUCACUGAAGAACAAGGGAUGGACCAAAAGGGGAUAUUUUCAGAAAGAAUGACUGUUGGUGUUUGCCCUUCUGAGAGCCUCAUAGCAGCUAGCAGCGGCAGAUGUGGAGCUAGUUCUUCUGGUAGUACAAGGCUGCUCCCUCCUCAUGAUACCGACAGACAUUCGAAAUACCUCCAGUUUGGAGUUGCAAGCAACUCUAGACAUAGAAUGGAUGGUGGAAUGAGACAAGACCAAAGACUGAACAAUGGUGAUUUUAGCUACGAUGGUGGUGCCAUUGUGCCUGAACAGACUGAUGUGUAUGAUUUGGGAAUUUCAAAGCUGCAGGGUCAGGGUGCGUUAAAUUCUAGCAGCUGCAACUUUGAUGGCCUUCUCAAUUCCAUAGUAAAAGUGGAGAACCGACAUGUCAUGACGAUACUCCCCCUCUAG
rnacentral:rRNA from 1 species